ACUUUUGACCCCAAUUUCAUGGUCCACUGAACAUAGAAAAUGACAGUGCAUGUUUCAGGUUAAAGUUUUUGGUCAAGGUAGUUUUUGAUGAAGUUGAAGUCCAAUCAACUUGAAACUUAGUACACAUGUUCUCUAUGAUAUUAUCUUUCUAAUUUUAAUGCCUAAUUAUAUUUUUUAUCCAAUUUCAUGGUCCAUUGAACAUGGAAAAUAAUAGUGCGAGUGGGGCAUCCGUGUACUUUGGAC
rnacentral:lncRNA from 1 species